rnacentral:rRNA from 1 species
CCUACGGGGGGCAGCAGUGGGGGAUAUUGCACAAUGGGGGGAACCCUGAUGCAGCGACGCCGCGUGGGCGAGGGAGCGCCUCGGCGCGUAAAGCCCUUUCGGCGGGGGAGAACGAUGACGGUACCCGACGAAGAAGCACCGGCUAAAUACGUGCCAGCAGCCGCGGUAAUACGUAGGGGGCAAGCGUUAUCCGGAUUUACUGGGUGUAAAGGGAGCGUAGACGGCGAUGCAAGCCAGAUGUGAAAGCCCGGGGCUCAACCCCGGGACUGCAUUUGGAACUGUAUAGCUGGAGUGUCGGAGAGGCA